rnacentral:rRNA from 1 species
AACGGAGAGUUUGAUCCUGGCUCAGGAUGAACGCUGGCGGUAUGCUUAACACAUGCAAGUCGNNGGGGCAGCAGGUUUGUAGCAAUACAGACGCUGGCGACCGGCAAACGGGUGCGGAACACGUACGCAACCUCCCUCUAACUGGAAGAUAGCCCACCGAAAGGUGGAUUAAUACUCCAUAAUAUAUUGAAGUGGCAUCACUUUAAUAUUAAAGCUCCGGCGGUAAGAGAUGGGCGUGCGUCUGAUUAGGUAGUUGGCGGGGUAACGGCCCACCAAGCCUGCGAUCAGUAGCUGAUGUG